AUAACCCUCGCCGCCCGGUAGCCCGGUGCAGCGGUCCCCGAGUGAGCUGCUGGGGAUGGGGGGGAGUGGCAGGAGGGUUGCUUCGGUCAAACCCCCAAGGCAGAGAAAGCUGCUCCGCUGCCGGGGCGCCAGGGGUGGCGGGCAGCGGCUCGGCUCCCGCCGCCACGUCUCAAACUUCAGGGAAACCCGUUCUGAUUCUCCCUUAUCCCCCUACCGCCCCCCUUCCCGCUAGGACCGGCCUUUUAUCCCGGCGAGGGAAAUAAAGACCUCUCAGGGAUCUAUUGACGCUUCCCGCUGAAAAGGGAUAGGGAGGGAAAAAGCAAAUUAGAGGAACAACCAGAAGAGACAAACAAACAAGAAACCGCAGAAGAAAGCGUUUGAAAGGCGGCCGACAGAUAAUCCAGGAAUGCUUCAGAUAAGGGGGGAAGAGGGGAGGCGAUACAUGCGGAGAUACCCGAAAAGUCAGAGUCUGAUGAAACGCUUGGAAGAGGGAUGGGGAAGGAAAGAAAGAAAACAAACCCCAAUCCUGUUUAAAGACCUAUUAAAGGACAGACCCAAGGGGGGGAGUGAUAGUAAAAGGAGGGGAACUACUGGGGAUUUAGGGGAGCAGAUGAAGUGCAGCGCCCGGACUUUCGGGGGCUGUUGGCCCGCUCCUGCUCCAGACAACUGGGCCGGGCCGGGGAUGAGGCCCGGGGUCACCCACUGCCCGCAGCCAGCGCCGCUCGGUCCCGAAGGCCGCCGGCAGCCCGGGGCGGGCGAUCCCGGACCGGCGGAGCGGCCCGCGAAGGAAAAGGGGGGCUCCCCGCUCCCCCCCCACCUCCCCACUGCCGGCCCUGGCGUUUGCAGAAGUUAUGGGGGUCUUUGAUUAAUUAAAUGGAGGGCUUCAUAAAAUAUUCCCAAUA